rnacentral:rRNA from 1 species
UACGGAGGAUGCAAGCGUUAUCCGGAAUGAUUGGGCGUAAAGCGUCCGCAGGUGGCUGUGUAAGUCUGCUGUUAAAGAGUCAUGCUCAACAUGAUAAGAGCAGUGGAAACUACACGGCUAGAGUGCGUUCGGGGCAGAGGGAAUUCCUGGUGUAGCGGUGAAAUGCGUAGAGAUCAUGAGGAAGACCAGUGGCGAAGGCGGGUCUCUGGACAGUUCCUGACACUGAGACACGAAGGCCAGGGGAGCAAACGGG